rnacentral:misc_RNA from 1 species
UAAAAAUAAUCUUCCCAUGAAUGAAAAUUUCCUUUUUCCCCCUUAUUUUCAAGGCCUAUCCUAUAACCACUUCUUUCAUUUUCGUAAAAAGCAUGUUAAUCCACAAACAGAUGGCUUAACAGCACACUGAAAUGUAAAAUUUGUAAGCAUUUAACAUUCAAAUAUCAGCAGGAAUUUAGCAGCUUCUCUUACUUGUCUGACAAUCGUCAAGGCAG